rnacentral:rRNA from 1 species
GGACUGGAGUCUGCAACCCGACUCCACGAAGCUGGAUUCGCUAGUAAUCGCGCAUCAGCCACGGCGCGGUGAAUACGUUCCCGGGCCUUGUACACACCGCCCGUCAAGCCAUGGGAGCCGGGGGUACCUGAAGUGCGUAACCGCGAGGAGCGCCCUAGGGUAAAACUGGUGACUGGGCUAAGUCGUAACAAGGUAAC